CAAUCUUCUCCCAAAGUUGCCAGAUAUGGUUCUAUGACAUCUGAACAAGAAACAUAUCUAUAUGAUGAGCCAGAGAACGAGUAUUCUGGUAAUGAAAAGAAACAGAGAGAUGGAUAUACUGAAAGGAAUGUCACUUUCAGAACAGAUUCAAUGUAAUCUCACCUUAUUCCACAGUAACAAAGGUGGUGGCAGAAAAACUGACCCUGGAGGAGAGAGGGAAACAGAACAGGAGGAUGACUCCAUUUCUGGGCACAUGAACGUAGAAUCACCGAUGUGGGCCAGAGUCUUCAUUUCCUUACGUGUAUGUGCACCUGGAGGAACACCAUUGAAGUUAGUGGAGAUACACCAUUGUAAGAGCAGGAGAUGUAAGAGCAGACUCUGGCAACAUGGAGGCAGCACAGGCCAUUACACAUACACAGACUUUUCUUUAAAUCCUGUGGUAGAACAAAGGCUGUAAUAACCAAGAAAUGGUAAAACAUUAUGAAUCUAAGACAACACUGAACAUUAGAUUAAAAUAUAGGUAGGAUUCAAUGUUUAUCUUUAGGAACAUGAUAUUAGAUUGGUUUAAUAUCAAAGACAUUUACCCUGAAAUCAUUGAGGACAAUAGGAUUUUGCUAUUGACUUCGAUGGCAGCCCAAUUAGGCCCAAGCAAAGUGCAUUUAAAAAGAAGGGAGGAAUAAUAAUUUGUAUGAUAAAAUAGAAUUUAAAAAAGUCUUCUUUGAAAUAAUAGCAACAAUGAUGGUGUCAUUUAACAUUUGUAUAGCUUCUUCCAUCCCAAAGGAUCCCAAAGCACUUUACAAAACUACUGGAUAAAACGGUACUAGAGCAUCAACUACUGAGAAUUCAGCCACCUCUGGGAAGGAGAUUGGCAGACAACUGCUUUACAUUGGGAUUAGAGGAUAUUUUAGUCAAGAACACAGGCUAACCUCUACUGUCAUGGAAGGUGUGUCAGAUUAUUUGAUAGUCACACAAAACAGCAAGGUCUUCUUUGACUUUUAAGGUCUCUUCCAAAACACUGAAGUAUACACUGUAAUAACUGUGCUAACUUUCUCAGUAUGUUAGUUCCACCCCAGGAGCUGUAAAUGCAAGAAAGACAAUUAACUCCUUGGAAAUGCCUCCGUUCAGCUGAUUAUUCUAGUUUCUAGUAAUUAAGAUUGCAUUUCAUGAUCCUCAGCCUUAUUAAAUUAGUGUUUACAGUUCUGUAUGCUACAAAAAUAAAACAUGGUUAUUUUAAUUAAAUUAUUCAUAAAUGGCAUUGGUUCCACCUCAGAUGUGUGUAUAAUGAGAACGGGACCAAGC